UCAUAUAUAACAAAAUUAAGAACUGAACUUUAUUGAAUGUUAAUAAUCCACUUCAAUUACAAAAUCAUUUGAAUAAGAAAGAUUACAUGCGGAUAGCAACAAUACCUAUUGAUCUAAAUCUACAUAUCACUGCAUUCUCAUUGCUCCUUGAGGAACUUUGAGCCAUGUUCCAUUCUUUGCUGGUCGAAUACACCGUGUAGCAGCUUGCAAGCUUGUUUUCCAGAAUGUCUUCUUGCUCUGCCAAUUCUCCAGUUGACUCGAGAGUUCUUUUGAGCCAAAGCUGCAACUAUGAUCUCCCUGAGAUAAUCUGACCAGUGCAAAGCAAAAAAACCAGUAGUUGAGGAGCACUUGAAUCUAUCAUCCAAACAUCAUUCUGCUUUCUGUUAUUGUCAAUAACAUAAGACAAUGUAUGCAACUAGGAAACAAAGAAGUUGGACCAAAAUGCCUAGGGCAAUAAUACUUAUAUAACAACACAUCAAAUACUUAACUGCCAAUAAUAGAGUAUUGACCCCACUUUUUUUAUUUAUUUGAUCUGAGCAAGAACCUUAUACCAAAAAAAUCUGAAGCCAAAUACAGAACAAUACAUCUAUGACAUAGGUAAGUUGCCCCUUUUUUUCCUUUUUCAUCUUUUGGUCAGGAUGUAGGCAUGCACUUUCUCUUUUUCUCUCAAAAAAGAAGAAGGAUGUAGGCAUGCAGAGAUUGAAGGAAAUAUAACACUAGAGAAGCACAACAGAUCAAGCUAAUACACAUCAAAUAAAACUCGCCUUUUACUUAUAACUUAAUACCAAUUAACUUAUACUUGGAACCUGCCGAGUCCAAUACCAGAAUCUAUGGUAGAACAAGUUUGAUAGAAUUUACCAAUAACUUUUGACUUAUGAAUUCAAAGACAACCCAACACUUUAUAUUCAGUCCUUAACGAUCAAGAACCAAGCUUACAUGAUUAAGGUAUUAAUUCAAUACCUUCCAACUUCUUUGAACUACUGCUCUUGUGACUUAAAAAGAUGAUCUUGUCAUCUAGCAAACUUUAAUUACUAUCACAACAUCAAUAUGCUAUAACAAUACACCCAGACCCAUACUCAAAAGAUCACAACCAGUCUUCCAAAGUAUGAUUAAAUGGGUAUAUACCUUUAAUUGAAAGCAACCAGAGGAUGGCCUUAAGUUUCUGGCUUCCUUCACAGCAACAAACAGAGUCCUCCCGUGGUUCACCUCCUCCACCACCUCACCAAUUCUGAUAACAAGUAUACCCAAACCUCAAAUUCAAUCUCAAUCCAUUUAAAUGAUCGAGAAAAUGACCCAAAAGGUAUCCAAAUACCCAUGUACAUGCCGAAAUGUGUAAUGCACCUUUGACUUAAAAACUCUAAUUGACAAAAGAAAAUUUGGUCAAAAUCCUAAUAGAUUUCUACAUAAGAAUAAUACUAUGGGGAGUAAUUGAAUUACAACGUAGGUUGUAGUAAUAACUAAACAUCCUUUCAUGCAGAAAAAAGUUGUACAAGCCCUGCAUAGGAACGCCGAAGAACUUCUCUUGUUGAUUUAAAUUGACACCCGGGACAAAAAGUGAAAAAUGAAAAAGACAACUGAUACAAAACUGAUGGUUUACAGAUCAAUGGCUUACUAAGUCAGAAAAAGAUAACUUUUAAUUAUUAUUGGGACAUGGACAUUGUAAAAAGGAUGAGUAAUACAUGAUUUUCUUAUACGACAACCGGAUCACUACCUUUGUGUCUUAGUAGGUAGCCUGAUGCAAAAUUAACAGAGUUAUAAGUUAAGUAUUGAAACCACAUUGGCCAAGUAUUGAUACCGACAUGGCAAAUGCUCAUUAUUCCUACUACAUAUUUGUGCAUUGUUCUGAUUUAUCUAUUGUAUUCAAGUACAUGAAUGUCUAAAUUGACUAUCAUCUAGACAUAUACUGGUUCCCUAGAAAUAUAUAGGCAUUCGUGUUGCACUAUAUAUAAACAAAACCAAAUAUGGAAGAAACAAAACAAGAAAAUGAUGACCCGAAGUGGAAAAAUUGUGCCUCUGUAGAAAUCUAACGGGAUGUAUAAAUGAGGAGGCAAACACAUUGGUAAUAAAAGUUCCUAUAAACCACCUGAUCAACUUUAGCCUUCGCAGAGAUCUAAACUUGUUGAGCACUUCAUACUCAUAAUUGAGAACUUCGCAGCUUUGAUUGUCGUUGAAGAAGCAAGCAAGGGCAGAAGCGCCGGAAGGCAGAAAAACAACCCAGAAAAGAGAAAAAUAAAUCCAACCAAAUACGAAAGCUAAACAUAGCGGAAUGUCGAGAAAUAAGAAACCCCAAAUCUAUAACCCAAUUGGUAGAAAUCCCAAAUCGUAAACCUUAGAUCCCAAAACAAAGAAAUGUCAAAAACCCUAACUGCUAGCAACGAUUUACGAAGAGGAACAAUCACAAAUACACAACUCAAAAACCCCAAAUUGUAAACCCAGAUCCCAAAACAAAUCAAAUUCGAAAACCCUAGAUAGAGAGUCUUACCAGCUAGCGAGGAGUAGAGCUAUGAAUGAGAGCUCAGAGUCAUCGAGAGGCGGAGAGGGAAGAAACGUGUUCUGAGAGAGGGAGAGAAAGUGGCGUCGAGAGAGAAAAGAGAUGGUCUUCUUGAUGAACUCCACAGAUUCGGCAAAUGAAGAUGUGGAUGGUGAAUUGGUGGGUAGGAGGGCUGACGGCAGCGGAGAGAGGGUUGGGAGGGCUGACGGCAGCGGAGAGAUGGUUGAGCGUCGAUGCAGGAGCCCCUCUCGCCUCAGUCUCUCUUUCCCUCUCGAACUGAAAUGGAAGAGGCUGGGGUUUCUUACCCUCGUAAGUGUUGACCCAACGGUUCAGAUGAGAAAAGAAAGGAUGUAGGGCUAGGAUUAAUUGUUGCCUUUAAAAAUUAGAAAUAGUUGACCAGCAUCUUGCUAACCCCUAACCUCUAAACUUAGCUUUUUUUUAUUCACCAAAGAAUUAAAACCUACUAAUGUAAUACAUGUUUACUAGCUAGGUUACAUCUAAACGUAUAUCAUUAUAAACCAAUUAUAUGGACGAAAUAAAAUUUGCAAAAUUUGAUUGUACGAUGUGAUCACAAUAGUCAAUUAUGUGUACAAUAGCAAACUUACCUAUUUUCGAUAACGUUUGGGUCUCAAUCGCAUGGGUCAACUUUAUUUACGUUUAAACUUCCAUGUGCUUCCUUAUGAGGAACUAUAUAAUCGGUUUAUAAAUAUGUCCAAAUUUUUACAAGGAUCAGUUUCGCCAAUACUCAAUGAGAGUUUGAGUAUUGAGGAAUCAAAAAUAUAAGUUUCGGUCGAAGUAGAUAAGAGCG
rnacentral:lncRNA from 1 species